AUGCUGGUGAUGGUGCGCCCCGCCCCAAGCGCUGGGCCGCUAGUCGCGAUCCCCUGCCGCUGCCGGAUCACCGUUGCCCCUCCCCGGAUGGUUCGCGCCGCGAGGCCGAGCUCCGGGAGGAGAUCCUCCGCGGCAAGGCCACCGCCUCGGCUGCUGGGUCCGGCUGGCGCGGGUCUCGCGACCGCGACCGUGACCCUUCGCCCCCUUGGCGUGGCAGGGACCGUGAGCGUGAGCCCGACCGCCGGUUGCCCGCUCGGCGCUGCCGCUCACCUGCCUGGUCCGCGCGUGAGCCGGCCUCUCCGCCCCGCCGUUAUGAUCCUCCUCGGCGGCAUCCGCAGUCCCCCCCCCCCGGCCGGUCCGUCCAACAACUCCAAUCGCAAUGGACGGGGUGCUUUUGCUAAGAAGAAGAAGAAGCGUGGUGCUCUUGCUCACCCGAGCGGUCCGGCCUCCUCGGUCUCCAACCCCGUGGUUGUCGCGGCGCCGUCUCCGGCGGCGACGGCCAUCUGCUUCAACUGUGGGAUCGCCGGCCACUGCCAGACCGUCUGCACUCAGCCUCCGGCUUGCUUCCACUGCAAGCGGACGGACCACCCCACGGCGCUCUGCCCUGACCACCAGCCCAUCGGGGCGCUUGGGCUAUUCGGGUAUGCCCUCAACGACCUGGGCUUCUUUCAGAUGGAUAUCCCCGAGGCCCGGGCGACCCCGCCCAUGACCGCGCUCAUCUCGGUCUUGGAUGGCAAGACGGCGUCUCCGGCCAUCAUCUCUGAGGAGCUUCGCCACCUGUUCAACCCGGACUGGGAUUGGGAGGUGACCCCGAUCUCAGACCGGGAGUUUACUGCGACGUUCCCUGACCCGGUCAGCCUCCGCUACGGCACUCACAGCGCCAGACUCACGCUCGCCCUCAACCAGCUCUCCGUCCGCAUCUCCGUCCCAUCUGUGGACCCGCUGGCAGUCGCCACCCUGUCCACGGUUUGGGUGCAGAUUCGUGGACUCCCUCCCCCGGCCAGGGACGAGGGGGUCAUCCGUGGUCUGUCCCGUCUCCUGGGCAAGUUUGUGGCUGUUGAUGCGGCGUCUCUACCCAAGGGCCCUGCUGUGCGUGUUCAGAUCAAGUCCCCAGACCCCACCAAGCUCAAGACGACGAUCGGGAUGUUCUUCAACGACGUCGGGUAUGACCUUCGCAUCUCGGUUGAGGGUGGGACUCCCACUGAUCCCCUCAGCCCGGAUGACAGAGGGGGUUCUGACCCGGCUGCGGGGUCGGGUGGUGGCGCUGCCCCGCACGACUCCCCCCACCGUCCCUGA
rnacentral:rRNA from 1 species